UUUUUUUUUGGUUUACGACAUAUUGACCUAUCCUGUGCCGUUGCAAUUGGUUGAUAUCUGUUUGUUAGUCUCUAAACUGUUGACUUAUGCACAUCAAAUCCAUCCAUGACAUCAGAAACACUCAUUCUGGCAUCAACCAUUCCAAGAACCUUCUGACGGUCGUUUUCGGGGAGGCCUGGUUGACGCCCCAUGCAAUGUUUUCAAACGUUCAUGUGUUUUUCUUACCAAUGGUGUAUUUCUGAACGUAAGUGAAAAAAAAAAUUGAAUUUUGUUUUAAAAGUUCAGGUACAGAAGGUAAAACAUCAAUUACUCGUGCAAAGCUGAAAUGGCGCGAAAUUAAUCAUCCAGAAAAAAGUAAGACUGUUUAAAAUUACAGGUAAAACUAAGGAUUAUAUCAAUGAUGUUUAAAAAAAAAAUUCGAGAAACAACAAAAAAAAAAAUUUUAAAACA
rnacentral:lncRNA from 1 species